AGAAUGAACGCUGGCGGCAUGCCUAACACAUGCAAGUCGAACGAAGGCUUCGGCCUUAGUGGCGCACGGGUGCGUAACGCGUGGGAAUCUACCCUUGGGUUCGGAAUAACAGUUAGAAAUGACUGCUAAUACCGGAUAAUGACGUAAGUCCAAAGAUUUAUCGCCCAGGGAUGAGCCCGCGUAGGAUUAGGUAGUUGGUGUGGUAAAGGCGCACCAAGCCGACGAUCCUUAGCUGGUCUGAGAGGAUGAUCAGCCACACUGGGACUGAGACACGGCCCAGACUCCUACGGGAGGCAGCAGUGGGGAAUAUUGGACAAUGGGCGAAAGCCUGAUCCAGCAAUGCCGCGUGAGUGAUGAAGGCCUUAGGUUGUAAAGCUCUUUACCCGGGAUGAUAAUGACAGUACCGGAGAAUAAGCUCCGGCUAACUCCGUGCCAGCAGCCG
rnacentral:rRNA from 1 species